AUUUUAGUAGUUUAAUAAAACAUUGUGCUGAAGACACAAAAUUAGCUUAGCUCUAAAAUA
rnacentral:tRNA from 1 species